rnacentral:rRNA from 1 species
CGGAGGGUGCAAGCGUUGUUCGGAAUUAUUGGGCGUAAAGCGCGUGUAGGCGGUUUGUUAAGUCUGGUGUGAAAGCCCUGGGCUCAACCUGGGAAGUGCAUUGGAUACUGGCAAACUUGAGUACGGGAGAGGAUAGUGGAAUUUCGAGUGUAGGGGUGAAAUCCGUAGAUAUUCGAAGGAACACCGGUGGCGAAGGCGGCUAUCUGGACCGACACUGACGCUGAGACGCGAAAGCGUGGGGAGCAAACAGGAUUAGAUAUCCUGGUAGUCCACGCCGUAAACGAUGGGUACUAGGUGUUGCGGGUAUUGACCCCUGCAGUGCCGAAGCUAACGCAUUAAGUACCCCGCCUGGGGAGUACGGUCGCAAGACUA